CGAUGUGGGGGUAGGGACUGACAGUAACAUCUGUUACUCCAUUGAUAACCAGGGUCGGUUUGACUGACCUGGCUGGCUAGGCAGCUAUGUCUUCCCUCUCUAACCACUCUGUGUGGGUCCCUCCUGAGGCAGGCUCCAGGGCUGGUUGUAGCAGAUGACCUUCCCCAGCAGAGGACGGUUCUUCCGUCAAGGGUAGACCAGAAACUGUGGUCUCUGCCAGAACUGCUGAACAAGCUCUGAGGAGUGAAGGAGGGGAGGUUCUAGGGUGUGUUAUGGGAUUUCAGGGACAGGGCUGUUCUGGUUUGCUUUUCUUU
rnacentral:snRNA from 1 species